rnacentral:tRNA from 7 species
GGGCGUAUAGCUCAGUUGGUUAGAGCGCGUCGCUGAUAACGACGAGGUCCCAGAUUCGAGUUCUGGUACGCCCA